AGAGAGAGACAUGCGCGCAUAUCAAUAAGCGGAGGAAAAGAAACUAACAAGGAUUCCCUUAGUAACGGCGAGUGAAGCGGGAAGAGCUCAAAUUUGAAAUCUUCAAGGUUCUACCUUGACGAAUUGUAGUUUAUAGAAGUGUUUUCUGUUAGUGGAGUGGCAAAAGUUCUUUGGAAUAGGACAUCAUAGAGGGUGAGAAUCCCGUAUUUGGUCAUUCCUCCUAGCGUCGUGAUACACUUUCAACGAGUCGGAUUGUUUGGGAAUGCAGUCCAAAAUGGGUGGUGAAUUUCAUCUAAAGCUAAAUAUUGGCGAGAGACCGAUAGCGAACAAGUACCGUGAGGGAAAGAUGAAAAGAACUUUGAAAAGAGAGUUAAACAGUACGUGAAAUUGUCAAAAGGGAAGCGUUUGACACCAGUGUUGUUUUUCCGAAAAUCAAUUACGAAUGUUUUAUUUUUGAGGAGUUAUGACUUCAUCGGCUUGCUCCUUUCUUUACGAAACUUUCUUAAUGCACUUUUCGGUUAACAAGUCAACAUCAAUUUCUUUUGUUGUAAAGGGUAUGAGGAAGGUGGCCUUCUUUUCGGAGAAAGUGUUUAUAGCCUCGUGCCUCUGCAAUCGGAGAGAUUGAGGUCUGCAGCGUAGAUCCUUCGGGUUAGAUACGUUUGUGCUAAGUUAUAGCUUUUCAUAGACAACUUGUUGACUAUGUUUAGUCUUGUAGCUUACUCGCUGAUGCUAUUUUACCUACGCUUAGGAUGUUGAUAGUCACAGCGUGUAC
rnacentral:rRNA from 1 species